rnacentral:rRNA from 1 species
CCUACGGUGGGCUGCAGUGAGGCAUAUUGGUCAAUGGGCGCUAGCCUGAACCAGCCAAGUCGCGUGAAGGAUGACUGCCCUAUGGGUUGUCAACUUCUUUUAUCUGGGUAUAAAGUGCAGUAUGUGUACUGAUUUGCAUGUACUUUCUGAAUAAGGAUCGGCUAACUCCGUGCCAGCAGCCGCGGUAAUACGGAGGAUCCGAGGGUUAUCCGGAUUUAUUGGGUUUAAAGGGUGCGUAGGCGGGUUUUUAAGUCAGUGGUAAAAUCGUGGGGCUCAACCCUAUAUAGCCGUUGAGACUGGGGAUCUAGAGUGUGCGAGAGGUAUGCGGAAUGCGUGGUGUAGCGGUGAAAUGCAUAGAUAUCACGCAGAACCCCGAUUGCGAAGGCAGCAUACCGGUGCACAACUGACGCUGAGGCACGAAAGCGUGGGUAUCGAACAGGAUUAGAUACCCUAGUAGUC